AAACAAUGAUGAGCAUCUUAUCCCGAAACUGAACCCAGUUUGAUGAAACUACAGAUCUGACUCCUGAGUU